GACGAACGCUGGCGGCGUGCUUAACACAUGCAAGUCGAACGGCAAGGCCCUGCUUUUGUGGGGUGCUCGAGUGGCGAACGGGUGCGUGACACGUGAGUAACCUGCCCUUGACUUUGGGAUAACUUCAGGAAACUGGGGCUAAUACAGGAUAGGAGAUCCUGCUGCGUGGUGGGGGUUGGAAAGUUUCGGCGGUUGGGGAUGGACGCGCGGCUUAUGAGCUUGGUGGUGGGGUAGGGGCUUACCAAGGCUUUGACGGGUAGCCGGCCGGAGAGCGUGACCGGGCACCUUGGGACUGAGGGACGCCGCAGACGCGUACAGGAGGCAGUGGGGGGGAGCAUGGCACAACGAGCGGAAGCCGGAGGCGACGACGCCCGGGGCGGGAAGACGGCCUUCUGGUUAUAAACCGCUUUCGCCUGAGACGAAGCGUUAGUGACGGUAAUGAGUAAAGAAGCACCGGCUAACUACGUG
rnacentral:rRNA from 1 species